GAUCCUGGCUCAGGAUGAACGCUAGCUACAGGCUUAACACAUGCAAGUCGAGGGGCAGCAUGGUCUUAGCUUGCUAAGGCUGAUGGCGACCGGCGCACGGGUGAGUAACACGUAUCCAACCUGCCGUCUACUCUUGGCCAGCCUUCUGAAGGGAAGAUUAAUCCAGGAUGGGAUCAUGAGUUCACAUGUCCGCAUGAUUAAAGGUAUUUCGUUACGACGAUGGAGUG
rnacentral:rRNA from 1 species